UACGGAGGGUGCGAGCGUUGUCCGGAAUCACUGGGCGUAAAGGGCGCGUAGGCGGCGCGGGCAGUCAACGGUGAAAGCUUGGGGCUCAACCCCGAGUCGGCCGUCGAUACUCCCGUGCUUGAGCACUGUAGAGGCAGGUGGAAUUCCGGGUGUAGCGGUGGAAUGCGUAGAGAUCCGGAAGAACACCGGUGGCAAAGGCGGCCUGCUGGGCAGUAGCUGACGCUGAGGCGCGACAGCGUGGGGAGCAAACAGG
rnacentral:rRNA from 1 species